CUAGAGUCUAACUUGUCUCCACGAGGGAGCGCCACGCGGCAACACAUCGCACCCUGAGUAAAUUGCUCGAAACCACCACAUUUGUGACUAGGAUAACAUGUUGUCACCGUUUUUUCCAAAAACCAUAGAUCACCACCACUUUUACGACAAGUGAGUCACAAAUCCCACUGAUUCAAAUAUUAAUCACGCUUAACAAUAAAACUACCAGGUUGGUUCCACCCAUUGGGCUGAGUUGGCAAAAAAGAAAGCCACACAUACAGGGUGACUAGUCUAUCUCUCUCGCAUUGUAUCGAGCACCUCGUGUGCACGCACCAAGCCGCCCUUCGCCAACAAUGCAGAAGGGGAAUGAGACCGCCGGGAGAAGAUUGGAGUAGAACUGCAGUGCCGCGUGAACCAUGGGGUCACGCUCGUCAACGCCGAUUCUCGGAUGCACACGUUGCACGGCCAUGGCAGCGCGCCGACGCCAGCCUCAAGCUGCGGCCGACCCUGGAUGACAGGCCAGUGAAUUUGGGUCAGUUGGCCGUAUACAAACAUUUUCAUUCCAAAAAUGAAUCGACUUGCGUGCUUCCAAGAACUUUUUUUGAAAUAAUUUUGCUGUGACCGAAAGAGUCGGCCAGCAAGCUUGUGGUCACCUCGGCGCUCACCUUUCCAAGUUGUUCAGCUGCCACAAGCAUUCAACCGAGCACUCUGCGUGUGCCCACCAGCUCCAUCUGCACCAAGUCGAGUAUACACUGAGCCACUGCUUGCGAUUUCUGAAUCUACUUAAUUGCGUUGCUUCCCUUGCCCGGUGGGGAUGUGCAACCCUCGGCGGCUCCGCGCAGAAGUGGGGAAGGGCGCCUCUAGGUGGCAGCGUGAGGAGAGGAGGGGUACCGGCGGCACCCAUGGAGGGUCGUGACCAGACGCCAGGCAGCCCACCGGGGGGAGAAGUUGCGCCGGAGGGGGCGGCGAUGGAGGAGAG
rnacentral:lncRNA from 1 species